rnacentral:lncRNA from 1 species
ACUGUGAGUACCUCCAUUUGGCAUGAUGUUGCUCUAGACUUGCAAAAGAAUAUGCUUUUGGACACAGACUGCUGUGGUUCUCACGAGCAAGAUUUAGAGGCUGUACAUACAGCCCACAGUACUAAAUGGACUGACUGAGAAAAACAAAAGACAGACCGAGUGAAGGCAUCAGAAUUUAUAUUCCACUGACUCAGUCCCC